CCUACGGGGAGCAGCAGUGGGGAAUAUUGGGCAAUGGGCGCAAGCCUGACCCAACAACGCCGCGUGAAGGAAGAAGGCUUUCGGGUUGUAAACUUCUUUUAAGGGGGAAGAGCAGAAGACGGUACCCCUUGAAUAAGCCACGGCUAACUACGUGCCAGCAGCCGCGGUAAUACGUAGGUGGCAAGCGUUGUCCGGAUUUACUGGGUGUAAAGGGCGUGCAGCCGGAGAGACAAGUCAGAUGUGAGAUCCACGGGCUCAACCCGUGAACUGCAUUUGAAACUGUUUCCCUUGAGUGUCGGAGAGGUAAUCGGAAUUCCUUGUGUAGCGGUGAAAUGCGUAGAUAUAAGGAAGAACACCAGUGGCGAAGGCGGAUUACUGGACGAUAACUGACGGUGAGGCGCGAAAGCGUGGGGAGCAAACAGGAUUAGAUACCCUAGUAGUC
rnacentral:rRNA from 1 species